rnacentral:rRNA from 1 species
CCUACGGGUGGCAGCAGUGGGGAAUAUUGGACAAUGGGGGGAACCCUGAUCCAGCCAUGCCGCGUGUGUGAAGAAGGCCCUCGGGUUGUAAAGCACUUUCAGUGAGGAAGAACGCCUGGUGGUUAAUACCCAUCAGGAAAGACAUCACUCACAGAAGAAGCACCGGCUAACUCCGUGCCAGCAGCCGCGGUAAUACGGAGGGUGCGAGCGUUAAUCGGAAUUACUGGGCGUAAAGCGCGCGUAGGUGGCUUGAUAAGCCGGUUGUGAAAGCCCCGGGCUCAACCUGGGAACGGCAUCCGGAACUGUCAAGCUAGAGUGCAGGAGAGGAAGGUAGAAUUCCCGGUGUAGCGGUGAAAUGCGUAGAGAUCGGGAGGAAUACCAGUGGCGAAGGCGGCCUUCUGAACUGACACUGACACUGAGGUGCGAAAGCGUGGGUAGCAAACAGGAUUAGAUACCCUAGUAGUC